rnacentral:misc_RNA from 1 species
UAAUUAUUAGCAUUAAUAAUUUAUAAAAAUAAGACAAUAUAGAUGAUUAGGAUUGCGUGCAUAAUAGCAAUUUUAUAAUCUGAUUAGAUAUAUAGGGCCUGACCAGUUUAUCGAAACUCCCACUUAGAGUUCCCCUUAGCAACAGAAUAAACACGCAUAAACAACCCCAAACCAUAACCUAUUUUUUUUUCUCUGAUCUAUAUACGUCAAAUGCUUUGUGAACAAAUCAGUUAGAUUUAACUGUUUAAUUUACGGUGCAACGAGAUAAAAAAUAUCAUUAAAACAUGGUACAUCUCGAGGAGGUAGAUGACCUCGUGAAUCAAAUGAUGAAGGUGCCAAUUUUUUCACAUUCUGAAAAGCAGAGAUUAUUAGAAGAUGAUAACAAUACAGACUUUCUUGAUCCUAAUUUAAUUAUGGAUACGAGACACAAUAUAACUCGAGAGACACUAAACAAUCCAGACGCAAAUUGUUCUGCUUUAGCAGAGGUUAAAAGGUUGUUGAAAGAAAAGGAAAUUAAAGAAAUGUGCCUGAAAAAGGAACGAGCUUUUCUUGAAAUGGAAUUGAGAAAAUUCGAGAAGGAACUUCAUAAAUCCCGCCCAAAAUUUCAACGACAAUAUGAAUGCAGUAAAAAAAGUCUGGCUAAUUCAAAUGACCAAAAUUUCUGGAGUAUAUCUAACAAAAUAAAGAUGGAGAUUAAAACAAGCAACAAGUCAAAGGUACAAACUUUUGGAACGAAAAGCAAACAAACAUCCGUCAAAGAAUUAUCUCCGAUAUUUGAAAAUUCUAAUACCGCUGAGAUCGAUGAAAAUGAUAAAAAUGACGUAAACGAAUCUUUCGGAAGUAUCAAAAUAACUAUUAAGAAUAAAAUUAAUUUCGAUUCGGAAGAAAAACGAUUGAACUUAAUGAAGAAAUAUUUUGAAUUUGUAAAAGAAUAUUCGACAAGAGAGCGACGAUUUCGAGAGAUAAAAAUAAAACUACAAGAAAGGAUGACUUCGAGAAGAUUAAAAAGAUACUUUAAUUUUUGGAAAACUUACGCUGAGGAUAAAAAAAAUGCUUCAAAAAUAAAAAAAGAAGUACAAGACGUAUCUCAUGAACGUAAAAUUGAAAUUUUUAUUAGCGAAAUUACGGAAAAGAAAAAGAAAUUAGGAAAUCAUUUUAAAUCGAAGAUAAAAAAUAAUGUAUCUUUUAAAAUUAUACAAGAAAAUGAAGAUAAAAAAAAAUUAACUCGCCGGAAAAACAAUUAUCCGUUCGAAUCUUUAGUAGAAAAUCGUUUGAAUGCUCAGAAAAUUAUAAUCGAAAAACAAAAAUCUAAAUUGGCUGAACAAAAUAGAAUUAUCGAGGAACUGAAAUUGAAACAAAUUCAACAAGAAUUGAUGACAAUGGAUAAGGACACUAUGAACGUUGCCAAAGAAACUUUGAUGAAUUGUGGCCAAGAAACAAGAAGAACUUUAAUUCUAUUAAUGAAGCAAGCUGGUUACAGCGACUUAUAUACAAAUCGUCCUCAACAAGCACUAAAUCCACCAAAAUUCAUUAUGAAAGUGGAAGCUCGGGCAGAGGCGAGAAGAGAACGAUUAAGAAAAGCGGAAGAAACUCGUCAAAAAAAGUUGGAAGAGCAGAAAUUAAAAGAAGAAGCAACUAAACGAGAAGAAGAAGAAAAAAGAAAAAAAUUACAGCAAGAGACUAUACGAGAAGCGAGAAGGCUGCAUGAAGAACAAAAAAAGUGUAAAAUGGAAGAAUUAGAAAAAUUAAAAAAAUUAAAUUCGAUGGCCAAUCAAUUCUAUUGCAAAUAUUUAUUUCGACAUUAUAUAAUAGAACCGUUUAAGAAACUCAUCAAAAUAAGAAACGACAAUAUUCAAAGAGCAAACGAUCAUUAUAAAAAAUUCUUAUUACUCCAAACUUUGACUGCCUGGAGAAGGGAAACGAAAGAACAGUAUCAAAUCAAACUUGAACUUGCCAUUUCCUUACACAAUAGGAAUUUAUUAUGGUACACUUUUAAAGAUUGGACGGAUAUGGUAAAGGAAGAAAAUAUAAAACAUCAAGUUGCCAAAGAUUUCUACGAUAUGAAAUUGCAAGAGAAAUAUUUCUGUGUAUUGAGAUCUAUUGUUGCCAUAAUAAAAUUAGAAUAUUUAAAAUACGUCAAAAUGGCAGAUGAACAUUACAAUGAUAAACUUGUGAAUAAAUAUUUUAAUAAAUGGAGAGAUUAUCCUACGAUAGCUGAAAUAGUUAAAGAAAGUGAAAAACAAAGGAACAAGUGGAGAGAGAUAGUACAAAAACUAGUUCCCGAUUUUGAUCCUAAGGAGAGAGGAGUAGUGCUAGAGGAUUAAGAUUAAUUUUAUAAUUGAUCAAAACACUAAAAAUAUUUAUGAACUACCUUAUAUGUGGUGUUUUCACAUCUUUUUAUCAUAAAAAAAAUAUGCUUACUGCUAUCCGCUCCUUGCGUGAUUGCAGCGCCAUGGUAUCUAUGAACUAAAGGACGCUGCUGCUGAGUUUUUAAUAUCUAAACGUAUAGGGCUUUGCAAUAACAAUUAAUUUUUGUUAUUAAAAAAAUUUUUUUUUGCAUAUCAAACCACGUGACAAUAAAAUUUCAAUCUUGUGCAAUUAUGAUGCAAAAAUUACCGCUAAAAUUUAUCCACUGCGUGCGCUAGUGUCCACUUCGGCUUCCCCUACCAUGGCUUCGCACGGAGCGGAUACGCUAACGAUAUGAUUAGUUUCACAGAUAGAAUAGUCACUUUUAUACAAUAUAUAGUUCAAAGAUUUUAUAUAAAUUAUACAUAUUUUUGAUUUUAUAUUUCGUUUUUAAAGAAAUAAUUAAUUAGCACGUAAUAAGUACUUUAUCACAGUUAUACAAUAAAUGUAUAUAAAUACUAAACAUAGUAACAUCCUGACGUAAUAACCAGAAAUUUUAUUUAUGACUGAUAUACUAUUAUUGCGAUAUGUCAUUAUAGUGCUUGAUAUACGUUAAUUGCUAUUAGUAUAUCACACAAUUUAUGACACAUCCACGUUGAAUUCAAUGAAAAAACUUAUCCUACUAAAAAGUGUUGUAAUAAAGACAUCGAAAAAUACAAAUAAAUAAAUAUUAUCAAUAAAAGAAAUAUACUAAAAUAUUUUUAAGUACCUGGCUUGACGAUCGUAGUUCAAAUUAAUUCUUAGUAUUGAUGGUCAUUUUAUUCUCUUGGCAACAAAUAAAAUAUGCUCUG